rnacentral:rRNA from 1 species
ACGUAUGGGGCAAGCGUUGUUCGGAAUUAUUGGGCGUAAAGGGCGUCUAGGCGGGGGAUUAAGUUAGAUGUGAAAGCUAUGGGCUCAACCCAUAAACUGCAUCUAAGACUGGUUCUCUUGAGUCCGGGAGAGGAGAGCGGAAUUCCAGGUGUAGCGGGUAAAUGCGUAGGUACCUGGGAGGACGCCAGUGGCGAAGGGGAGUCUCUAGCAUAGGCCUGACGUGGAAGCCGGCAAGCGUGGGGAGCGAACAG